GACCGCUCUGGUGGCCUAGUGGUUAGAGCGUUUCGCCUCAGAUGCGCGUGGUCGCGGGUUGGAACCCCGACUGAGUCA